rnacentral:rRNA from 1 species
GGGCCAGACUCCUACGGGAGGCAGCAGUAGGGAAUUUUCGGCAAUGGGGGGAACCCUGACCGAGCAACGCCGCGUGAACGAAGAAGUUAUUCGUAAUGUAAAGUUCUUUUAUCAGGGAAGAAAGAGGAAUUUGACGGUACCUGAGGAAUAAGCUCCGGCUAACUACGUGCCAGCAGCCGCGGUAAUACGUAGGGGGCAAGCGUUAUCCGGAUUUACUGGGUGUAAAGGGAGCGUAGACGGCACUGCAAGUCCGGAGUGAAAGCCCAAGGCUUAACCAUGGGACUGCUCUGGAAACUGUGGAGCUUGAGUGCGGGAGGGGCAGGCGGAAUUCCUAGUGUAGCGGUGAAAUGCGUAGAUAUUAGGAGGAACACCGGCGGCGAAGGCGGCCUGCUGGACCGUAACUGACGUUGAGGCUCGAAAGCGUGGGGAGCAAACAGGAUUAGAUACCCGAGUA